AUGUUUAGAAGAGGGAUAGAAAUCUUUACUGCUGUCAAGUGUACACGCUCAGCAUACAACAGUGCAAAAGGUAAUUGCAAAAGAAAGUAUCACAACAACAGCAAGUUGGAUAUUUUCUUUGACUGUGAAAUGUUCACUAGAAGACCAACCAAGAGACCAACAUGCAAAAGACAGUCCUGAAGUUAAUCAGUUCUAAAGCAAGUGACACAAGUGAGAUGUUGAUCCCAGAAGGUGCUCAAUGACAGAAGCUGAGUGCUAUGUUGGUUCUUCAGAAGAACUGAUGUUUUGAAUAAAUUGCUCCAUUAUGACUAUUUAGUCUUUUAA
rnacentral:lncRNA from 1 species